rnacentral:rRNA from 1 species
UACGAAGGGGGCUAGCGUUGCUCGGAAUUACUGGGCGUAAAGCGCGUGUAGGCGGGUCUUUAAGUCAGGGGUGAAAUGCCAAGGCUCAACCUUGGAACUGCCUUUGAUACUGGAGACCUUGAGUCCGGGAGAGGUGAGUGGAAUUGCGAGUGUAGAGGUGAAAUUCGUAGAUAUUCGGAAGAACACCAGUGGCGAAGGCGACUUACUGGACACAUAUUGACGCUGAGGUGCGAAAGCGUGGGGAGCAAACAGG